CUACGGGCCGCAGCAGGCGAGAAAACUUUGCAAUGUGCGAAAGCACGACAAGGUUAAUCCGAGUGGUUUCUGCUAAAGGAACCUUUUGUCGGUCCUAGAAACACCGAUGAAUAAGGGGUGGGCAAGUUCUGGUGUCAGCCGCCGCGGUAAAACCAGCACCUCAAGUGGUCAGGAUGAUUAUUGGGCCUAAAGCAUCCGUAGCCGGCUCUGUAAGUUUUCGGUUAAAUCUGUACGCUUAACGUACAGGCUGCCGGGAAUACUGCAUAGCUAGGGAGUGGGAGAGGUAGACGGUACUCGGUAGGAAGGGGUAAAAUCCUUUGAUCUAUUGAUGACCACCUGUGGCGAAGGCGGUCUACCAGAACACGUCCGACGGUGAGGGAUGAAAGCUGGGGGAGCAAACCGGAUUAGAUACCCCAGUAGUC
rnacentral:rRNA from 1 species